rnacentral:tRNA from 1 species
GCUCUCGUGGCCUAGUUGGUUAGUGCGUCGUACUUAUAAGCAGUGCAGGAGUAUAUGCGAAGGUCGAGGGUUCGAUCCCCUCCGGGAGCA